UACGUAGGGUGCAAGCGUUAUCCGGAAUCACUGGGCGUAAAGCGUGCGUAGGCGGAAGCUUAAGUGUGAUGUUAAAUCGUGUGGCUCAACCAUAUCGAUGCAUCGCAUACUGGGUUUCUAGAGGACGGCAGAGGCAAGUGGAACUCGUAGUGUAGCAGUGAAAUGCGUAGAUAUUACGAAGAACACCAAUGGCGAAGGCAGCUUGCUGGGCCGCCCCUGACGCUGAGGCACGAAAGCGUGGGGAGCAAACAGG
rnacentral:rRNA from 1 species